rnacentral:rRNA from 1 species
AGUGAACGCUGGCGGUAGGCCUAACACAUGCAAGUCGAACGGCAGCACAGUAAGAGCUUGCUCUUACGGGUGGCGAGUGGCGGACGGGUGAGGUAUACAUCGGAAUCUACUUUUUCGUGGGGGAUAACGUAGGAAAACUUACGCUAAUACCGCAUACGACCUACGGGUGAAAGCAGGGGAUCUUCGGACCUUGCGCGAUUGAAUGAGCCGAUGUCGGAUUAGCUAGUUGGCGGGGUAAAGGCCCACCAAGGCGACGAUCCGUAGCUGGUCUGAGAGGAUGAUCAGCCACACUGGAACUGAGACACGGUCCAGACUCCUACGGGAGGCAGCAGUGGGGAAUAUUGGACAAUGGGCGCAAGCCUGAUCCAGCCAUACCGCGUGGGUGAAGAAGGCCUUCGGGUUGUAAAGCCCUUUUGUUGGGAAAGAAAAGCAGCAGGUUAAUACCCCGCUGUUCUGACGGUACCCAAAGAAUAAGCACCGGCUAACUUCGUG